rnacentral:rRNA from 1 species
CCUACGGGCGGCUGCAGUGGGGAAUAUUGGGCAAUGGGCGCAAGCCUGACCCAGUAACGCCGCGUGAAGGAAGAAGGCUUUCGGGUUGUAAACUUCUUUUAAGAGGGAAGAGCAGAAGACGGUACCUCUUGAAUAAGCCACGGCUAACUACGUGCCAGCAGCCGCGGUAAUACGUAGGUGGCAAGCGUUGUCCGGAUUUACUGGGUGUAAAGGGCGUGCAGCCGGGAAGACAAGUCAGAUGUGAAAUCCCGCGGCUCAACCGCGGAACUGCAUUUGAAACUGUUUUUCUUGAGUACCGGAGAGGUCAUCGGAAUUCCUUGUGGAGCGGUGAAAUGCGUAGAUAUACGGAGGAACACCAGUGGCGAAGGCGGCCUGCUGGACAUUAACUGACGCUGAGGCGCGAAAGCGUGGGGAGCAAACAGGAUUAGAUACCCGUGUAGUC